UACGAAGGGGGCUAGCGUUGUUCGGAAUUACUGGGCGUAAAGGGCGCGUAGGCGGUUUCGCUAGUCAGGCGUGAAAUCCCCAGGCUUAACCUGGGAAUUGCGCUUGAUACUUCGAGACUUAAGUGAGGGAGAGGAUAGUGGAAUUCCCAGUGUAGAGGUGAAAUUCGUAGAUAUUGGGAAGAACACCAGUGGCGAAGGCGGCUAUCUGGACCUCAACUGACGCUGAGGCGCGAAAGCGUGGGGAGCAAACAGG
rnacentral:rRNA from 1 species